rnacentral:rRNA from 1 species
GACGUAGGGCGCGAGCGUUGUCCGGAAUUAUUGGGCGUAAAGAGCUCGUAGGCGGUUUGUCGAGUCGGAUGUGAAAACCCGGGGCUCAACUCCGGGCCUGCAUUCGAUACGGGCAGACUAGAGUUCGGUAGGGGAGACUGGAAUUCCUGGUGUAGCGGUGAAAUGCGCAGAUAUCAGGAGGAACACCGGUGGCGAAGGCGGGUCUCUGGGCCGAUACUGACGCUGAGGAGCGAAAGCGUGGGGAGCGAACAGG